AAUAUUAUUGAUAAAUUUUAUGGCGUUUAACUAUUGGUGUUGUUUGCGGUGUGCAGGGCUUCGCACAGUUCUCAACAGGAGAGAACGCACGACUCCAGAAGUAGGUGCAGGGCCGCCAAAAUGGAACUUUGACAGAGCGCAUAGAAAAACAUGGAUGACAAAAAGUGCUUGCGGAGUGAAAGUAACAUUUGGCAAAAUCACAAGACAAAUUGCAGAGUAUGGAUUCGAAUCACCUAGCUGUCGAUAAGGGUUUUCAUUCGGAAAUGACGUGUUAGCUCACAGGCCUGGAAACACAACUAUAUUGCUGUACGCAUAAGGUUCCUGUAUGUGGAGAUUGCAUCUGCUUUCCUGAACACAGUGCUUGUGAGAUGUUUUGCAUAAUUCGUGCUUGCUUCUACUUUUUAAAGGAUCCUCAUCUCCAACUGGUUACACAUGUCCUUCAUGCAAAUCACAAAUAUGGCCCACAAAGAAGCAGUUUGUUAGUUCUGGUUCUUCCCUUGCCAAUCAGUUGGAGGAAUUAUUUGCGAAGAGCCAUAUUUUUAUGUUGGACAAGAAUUCUCUAUUGCCAUUAGCUUCUGAACUAUUAUCAAAUUUCUCUGAGCAAGGAUUCUCACAGCCACGUUCUGAGAUUCGAUCAGCAGUUUUUAGUUUGUCAUCACCUCUUGCUGAAAUGUAAACAGAUCCGAAGAGUCAAAAGGCACAGCAGAGCUAUAUUCCUAAAGAUCAAAAUGUAUUAGAGAGUGGGGAAACACUUAAAUCACCAAGAAAGACGAUAAAUAUUGAAACUCCAAAGUCUUGUUCACCUGAGAUUGAUAAGCUUUUUGUACAUUCCCAUGUCAUGGACGUAGAAUAACUGAUUUCUAUUUUAAGUAAUCUUCAUAUUGUUAAUUUUGCAGGGUCCUGAAUGCAAAAGCUGAGAACAGCCAGCAAAUCCGGGAAAGGAUCAAUAGCAAGCAAGCCCACUGACACAAAAAUAAAAUCACACAAUUUAUUACCAUUGUACUAGUUUUGCACAACAUCGUUAAUAGGCAGCCGACAUUUGGCAAACAUAUGUAAAUAUAUAUCUCUUUCUUUCACUCUGUAUUGUUGUGCUGAUGUUAAAUCGGUUGACAAUGUGAUAUGUCUCUUCUCUCCCCAUGACUUUGAUAAUUGAAUUUAUAAUUAUCUGAAAUCUGUUGUUGAUUAAAUCAAAACAAUAAUAAUAAAAUAGAUUUCAUCUUGCUA